rnacentral:rRNA from 1 species
GACGAAGGAUGCAAGCGUUAUCCGGAUUCAUUGGGUUUAAAGGGUGCGUAGGCGGCCCAGUAAGUCAGUGGUGAAAGCUCUCCGCUUAACGGAGAAACUGCCAUUGAUACUGCCGGGCUUGAGUACAGAUGAUGUUGGCGGAAUAUGACAUGUAGCGGUGAAAUGCAUAGAUAUGUCAUAGAACACCGAUUGCGAAGGCAGCUGACAAAACUGUAACUGACGCUGAGGCACGAAAGUGCGGGGAUCAAACAGG